rnacentral:rRNA from 1 species
ACUCCUACGGGAGGCAGCAGUGGGGGAAUAUUGGACAAUGGGCGCAAGCCUGAUCCAGCCAUGCCGCGUGAGUGAUGAAGGCCUUAGGGUUGUAAAGCUCUUUUGUCCGGGACGAUAAUGACGGUACCGGAAGAAUAAGCCCCGGCUAACUUCGUGCCAGCAGCCGCGGUAAUACGAAGGGGGCUAGCGUUGCUCGGAAUCACUGGGGCGUAAAGGGCGCGUAGGCGGCCUUGUAAGUUGGGGGUGAAAGCCCGUGGCUCAACCACGGAAUUGCCUUCGAUACUGCUUGGCUUGAGUGUGGUAGAGGUUGGUGGAACUGCGAGUGUAGAGGUGAAAUUCGUAGAUAUUCGCAAGAACACCGGUGGCGAAGGCGGCCAACUGGACCAUCACUGACGCUGAGGCGCGAAAGCGUGGGGGAGCAAACAGGAUUAGAUACCCUGGUAGGAUAGCG